AAUGAACGUUGGCGGCGUGGAUUAGGCAUGCAAGUCGAGGGCGAACCCCGCAAGGGGGGAGACCGGCGAACGGGGUAGGACAACAUCGGUAACGUACCCUCAGGACGGGGAUAGCGGCGGGAAACUGCCGGUAAUACCCGAUGAUCUGGCCGCACUGCGAUGGCGGCCAGCAAAGGUGUGAUUCCACCGGAGGAGCGGCUGAUGCGCUAUUAGCUAGUUGGCGAGGUUACGGCUCACCAAGGCGACGAUGGCUAGGGGGUNUGAGAGCAUGGCCCCCACACUGGCACUGAGACACUGGCCAGACACCUACGGGUGGCUGCAGUCGAGAAUCUUCGGCAAUGGGCGCAAGCCUGACCGAGCGACGCCGCGUGCGGGAU
rnacentral:rRNA from 1 species